rfam:Beta vulgaris subsp. vulgaris chromosome 6, whole genome shotgun sequence.
AUGCCAUGGUGUGGACAUUAUCUUUGCAAAUAUGAAAUAUUUGUAUCUGUGCCAGGCCUCAUAAAGGGAUUCCAAUUCAUAUUGUCGGCAAUCAGAUAUCUCAUUUCUGAAUUU